UGUGUAGGCGGUUGUUUAAGUUUGGUGUGAAAUCUCCCGGCUCAACCGGGAGGGUGCGCCGAAUACUGAAUGACUCGAGUGCGGGAGAGGAGAGUGGAAUUCCUGGUGUAGCGGUGAAAUGCGUAGAUAUCAGGAGGAACACCGGUGGUGUAGACGGCUCUCUGGACCGUAACUGACGCUGAGGCACGAAAGCUAGGGGAGCAAACA
rnacentral:rRNA from 1 species